UCUGGAUGAGGAAAUAUCUGCAAGGCCACUUGGCAAGACUUGAGAUUUUCCAUUCUUUGUGAAAACGAAUGAAAAGGCAAUUAUUGCCUCACACUGUUCUGAGUAUUCCACAAUGAACCUCUUCUCUACUUCCUGAACAGAAUCCUCAGCUACUGCCUUUUAUCUUCCGUCACUCCCUGACUUCUUGGCCUGAUGUUAUCUGACCAACACUGAGACAAACAUGUCUUUGGGUCUUGGUUUCUGUAGCAAAGGAAAGAAGCUGCCAUUUCUGACUACUGCAAAUGAGGCACUGCUGUGCUAGGCAUUGAAGACCAUUGUAAGGAUGUUGGAAUUUAUUCUGAGUGAGAUGGAGAGAGAUACAGCAAAGUGGCUUCUAGUCCAAAAGUAUCACCCUGGCCUCUCUGGUGAAAGUGAUUUACCAUAAUCCAGAUAUUCUUGCUCUGCUGCUCAGGCUGUAGUGCAGUGACACCAUCCCAGCUAACUGCAACCUCUGCUUCCUGGGUUCAAGCAAUUCUCUUACCUCAGCCUCCCAAGUCAGAAUUACAGCCCACCACCACAGACACAGAAUACUCUAAAAGCCAAAAUACUUUGAGGAGGCACUUGGAAGAAAAAAUGUUUCACUGAAAUUUCAAAACUUCACAUGAUAAACCAAGAGCAAAGCCAGGUUCCAUGUGAUUGCACUUAGGACCAAUCCAGAUAAUACAGAAUAAUGUUCCUCGUUCAUCAUUCUUAAUCAGGUCUUCUGCUAUAUAAGAUGGAAUCCUUGCUUUGUCUCCCAGGCUGAAGUGCGGUGGUGUGAUCUUGGCUCACUACAACCUUGACCUCCUGGGUUCAGGCGAUUCUCCUGACUCAUCCUCCCAAGCAGCUGGGACUACAGGCACG